rnacentral:rRNA from 1 species
UAGUGCACAAUGGGGGAAACCCUGAUGCAGCGACGCCGCGUUAAGGAAGAAGUAUUUCGGUAUGUAAACUUCUAUCAGCAGGGAAGAANNUGACGGUACCUGACUAAGAAGCGCCGGCUAAUUACGUGCCAGCAGCCGCGGUAAUACGUAAGGGGCAAGCGUUAUCCGGAUUUACUGGGUGUAAAGGGAGUGUAGACGGCAGUGCAAGUCUGAUGUGAAAGCCCGGGGCGCAACCCCGGGACUGCAUUGGAAACUGUGCAGCUAGAGUGUCGGAGAGGUAAGUGGAAUUCCUAGUGUAGCGGUGAAAUGCGUAGAUAUUAGGAGGAACACCAGUGGCGAAGGCGGCUUACUGGACGAUAACUGACGUUGAGGCUCGAAAGCGUGGGGAGCAAACA